CCUACGGGAGGCAGCAGUGAGGAAUAUUGGUCAAUGGUCGAAAGCCUGAACCAGCGACGCCGCGUGAGGGAAGAAGUAAUUCGGUAUGUUAAGCUCUUUUAGCCGGGAAGAAAAUGCGGGUACGUGUGCACGAAGGCCCGGCCAACUACGUGCCAGCAGGCGCGGCAAUAAGGUGGGGGCAAGGGUUAUCCGGAUUUACUGGGUGUUAAGGGGGUGUAGACGGUGCGCCAAGUCUGGAGGGAAAUGCCGCAGGUUAACUGCGGAACUGCUGUGGAAACUGGCGAACUGGAGUGCGGGAGGGGUAAGCGGAAUGCGUGGUGUAGCGGUGAAAUGCAUAGAUAUCACGAGGAACACCGAUGGCGAAGGCAGCUUACCGGCUCGAAACUGACGCUGAGGCACGAAAGCGUGGGUAUCGAACAGGAUUAGAUACCCGUGUAGUC
rnacentral:rRNA from 1 species